CAUUGGAUACCUAACAUCCUUUAUUACGCAUUAUGGCUUGAGCCAAAUAGAAUCUGGAAGACACAUUUGCUACAAAGAAAUUAGACUGUCUCACAACUUAAUGAUAUUAAUCUUUGGAUUCUCCACUGGUUGGGUUUUUUGGUGCCACCAUCAUUUUCCUCCAGCAUGAUUGAGAGGUUGUUGACUAGACUUACUUUCUUGCUGAAGUUGCCUUUCCAAUAUGUCUUAUAAUUAGCAUCCUUCAUGGGGCCAUGCUCUUUUUGCACUCCUGGAUGACUGCUACCCUGGAUCUGGAUUCUAAUGGGCACCAACAUUAGGAUCAUUUCAGUAGUUUGCUUAAAAACCAAGAACUACCAGGCACGGUGGCACACGUCUGUAAUUCCAGCUACCCUACAGGUUGGAGCAGGAGGAUUGCAAGUUCAAGGACAAUCUGGGCAGUUUAACAAGAUAAAAAAAUCUCAAAAUAAAAAAUAGGUGGGGCUGGGGGAUGUAACUCCAUGGAAGACCACCCUUGGGAUUUAUUCCUAGUAUGGCAAAAUAGUUGCAAGUACUUAAAAGAUGUUUCCGUAAGGUAAGAGGAAGCAAAAACAAGGGGGCGCACAGUCCAGAAAGGUCAAAUAAAGCGAGCAGACGUUGGAUUUGUCUUAACAAGUGUUUGCCAGAUGGACAAUGGAACAGGCAUUCAGAAGAGGAAAGAUGGAAGAACUGAUUUAAGUCCUGCCUCCAAAAGUCUAAAGAUGUGGAACCUCAUGGAAGAAAGGAUGACUGAACCUGCUGAGGAUAUGCAUACCACACCUAAGCAGCAAGCAGGGCCAAAGGAGAUGGCUGGGAAUCCUGCAAAAACCAGCAGAGGAAAGGAGUGAGACAAGAAGGCCUGGCGUCAGGCGCCCAUCGCCCUUCAUGAUCCCUGGCAGCCCUCUGUGUGCCCUUUCCCACCUGUGUCACAGCAGCCCUCUGGCUUCUCUGCCAAGUUCAUCUGAGAAGAUUUCCAGUUAAAACACUGACUGGAGGAAGAAAUAUCUCACGUUCAAUCACAUGGCCCUGCUUGCUGUCUCUUACUCCUUAUUUACUCUCUUGGAGGUCACUUUGUGAUUCAACCAAAUCCCACAGGAGAGGUGACAAUCCCAAAGUAGAAGCUCUAGAAAGAUAACAUUUGGAAAUGUGCAAACCAGUGACUGCUGGCUCCUCCUGAGCAACUUUCACCCCGUAGCUACAAGGAAAGACCACCUAACAGUCUAACUUACAUGCAGAGAUAAACUAGCAUCUCAGAGCACUUUAGCAUCAAAUAACAGUCACCCGAGCUAAAUCUCUGCAUUGCACUGUGGCUAGAUGCAGCAAGCAAUUAUGAAACGAAAUAUAGCUAAGAGAAAGAGUUACCCAAUGAAGGAUUCCAACAGCUGGGUUUCCAAGCGUGCUUAUCCUGUGAUGCAAACAGCCUUGACAUCUCAGCACUGCUUGGAGCUCUCUCUGGAGCAGACUGAGCAGCACCCAAACCAAGCGCUCUGCCUGUUCAUACCCCCUUGCUCCUGAACACAGCUCAUCUCCCAAGAGUACACCGGCCUGAAGCCCAUUCUAAUGAAAAGCACAGUGAUCUCCAUGCCAAUGGCAGCCUCAGAGAAUCCAGAAAGACAAGGAGUGGAAUGGACGCCUGGCUUCACCCAAGCUGCGAGUGCUGACUCUCAGCUUGCUCCAGGGCUCUUUUCUCAGUGUCCCAUGAGGCAGCAGAAAACUCAGUUUUCCACUUCAGAGUCUGUCAACUGGAACAAAUCCACCCAUGACACCUGGGAGCACCUCCUCAUAGGCAAUCUCCAAUUCUCUCCUAUUUAGCCUGACAAUGCCCUUGAGUCAGAACUGUCCCAUGGUUUUAGCCUCUUUGCUCAUCUUUCCACCCUAUUCCAAAAGAUUACUGAUGGAAAAGUAAGACCUCUUCCACCCUAAGGUCCUAAAAGAAAGUUUCCCAACAAAAAGAUCUACUGGCGAUGGAGGAAGAGCAUCUCAAGAGACAGAUUUUCCACUACAUUUCAAAAACACAAAAUCUAAGUGCUGGCUUUAUGAAGGAGAAAUAAAGAGAAAGCUGCUCCCCCAGCUCCUACCACAGGUCUAGAAGUCACACAGGAGAUGCAUAAGUAUUUAAAAAGGGCAAAGUAAAAACAAGUACACUCCAUAAUGUCCAUUUCUCAGCCCAGAAAUUAUUGGUCUAGAGCCAAUGCAUAUGACUGUAAUCUCAGUUUGGGAGGCUGAGGUGAAAGGAUCACAAGUUUGAGGUCAAUCUCUGCAACACAGAGAAACCCUGUCUUAAAAAUAAUUUUAAAAAGGUGGGGGGAGAUGGCUAGAGAUGAAGCUCAGUGGUGGCGCACCCCUGGAUUAAAUCCCCAAUGCCUAAGAAAGAAAUAAACAAAGGAAGGAAGGAGAAAAGAAAGGGAGGGAAAUUACUAGUUUGGUCCACCCUGUAAGCAAAGCAUUCUUGGUUUAGAACAUACUGAGAAGAUGGUCACAGAUCUGUUAAAUUGCCCAAAGGGAUACUCCAGACAUACUACCAAAAAACUCAUAAGGAAGCAUAUGACCUUCUGCAAAUAGAUUUUACUCCAUGUUUGCCAAGCACAAGGUUUAAAGUUGGACCAUGUAAUUCCAUAAACUGAGAACUGUUCAUACCACUACAUCCCUAAACUUUCUAAUACUCCGCACAAUCUUUACUUAUUUAUUGAUACUGGGGAUUGAACCCAGGGUGUUUUACCACUAAGUCACACCCCCAGCACUUUUUAUUUUGACACAGGGUCUCCCUAAACUCCUUAGGGCCUCAAUAAAUUGCUGAGGCUGGCUUUGAACUUGUGCUCCUGUCUCACUGUCUCAGUCUCCUGAGUUGCUGGGAUUACCAGCGUGCACCACCAUGCCUGGCCUUCACACAACCUUUGAAGCAAUGUCUCUCUGCCUCCUUCAAUGUGUGGCUACUGCCCACUUGAUCCAAAAUAAUCCCUAUAUUUUUCAAUGUUUGCAAGCAGGACUUCCCAUCUAUAUGUAUGAAGGGAAAAGAUAACUCUUAGAACAGGCCACAUUUCAAUCACAGAAAUGGGAGUGGGCAAGGUCUACUGGUUGACUACAAUAAACUUAAAAUGUCCUCAUAAGGGCCCUAAUUGGGCAACACUUGCUUAAAGUCAGCUUGGGGAUUGCCACAUACCCGUAACAAAGGACUGUUCACUGUUUAGCUCAAGGAACCCAGCAACUUCUCCAAAAGUCACCAGAAUAACUAAAAAAUUCAAAGUGAAGAUAUUAAAAUGAACUAGCCUACCUGCUGGAAUGCCAGAAAGUUCCUCUACCCAGACAUUUGCCAAAAUAUGCUUAUAGCUUCUUUCCUCCUCUUUUGACAGGCCUCCAGAGGGUGAAACUUUAAUAGAUUCUAAGAGGAAAAGUGGCCAGUUUAUGUGCUGUCCACAAAGAUACCAAACUCUUCCUCCUGGAGCCAGGUCUCUCUCUCUGCUGGGCAGUCAGGGAGUAUCCAAUUAUCAGCAUACUCUAUGUGGGUCUCCUUGUCAGAGUCUGUGUCUUUAGUAGCCUAGUUCAAGAGGCUCAUCAUUAUCUCAGACCAGCUUUCUUUUCCUUAUUGGUGAUGCUUUUAACCAAAGAGGUUAAGCCUCUGUACAAUCAAGAAGUACUAGAAUUAGAAAACUUUCAUCAAUGGCCCUAGCCAAUGAGAAUUCAUUUCCAACUGGUAUAAAAGCCACUGGAACAUUGUUAUCAUCAAUUGAUAGGCUGUCUUACAGAUUUGCCCUCUUCAUCAUACA